GGCGCCGGGCGCGCGCAGAGCAUGCCGGGAGGACAUGGCCGCUUCCGGCGCGCGGGCCGGGCCGCCCCGGGCCUGAGGCCGCCGCCCGCGCCUGCCCGCCGGGCCCCCUGACGCGGCCAUGGACAAGAGCUCGAGCUGCGAGAGCCUCGGCCCCCCGCUGGCCGCCGCGCGGCCGCCCAGCGCCGACUCCCUGUCCAGCGCUUCCACUUCGCACUCCGAGGGCUCCGGGCACGCCCAGUCGGCUUCCGUGGCCUCUUCAGAUUCCGUCGCCACCUCUGCGGAUAACUUCUCUCCUGACCUGAGGGUCCUGCGAGAGUCUAACAAGUUAGCGGAGAUGGAAGAGCCGCCCUUGCUCCCGGGAGAGAGCCUUAAGGACAUGGCCAAAGAUGUCACAUACAUCUGUCCAUUCACGGGGGCCGUGCGAGGGACUCUGACUGUCACCAAUUACAGGCUUUACUUCAAGAGCGUGGACCGGGAUCCCCCAUUUGUUCUAGAUGCUUCCCUUGGGGUGAUAAGUCGAGUAGAGAAAAUCGGUGGCGCCUCUAGUCGCGGCGAGAACUCAUACGGUCUAGAGACUGCCUGCAAGGAUAUUCGGAAUUUACGGUUUGCUCAUAAGCCUGAAGGACGAACGAGAAGAUCCAUUUUUGAGAAUCUCAUGAAAUAUGCAUUCCCUGUCUCUAAUAACCUGCCUCUGUUUGCGUUUGAAUACAAAGAGGAGUUUCCUGAAAAUGGGUGGAAGCUCUACGACCCCCUUUUAGAGUACAAAAGGCAGGGAAUUCCAAAUGAGAGCUGGAGGGUCACAAGGAUAAACGAGCGCUACGAGCUCUGUGAUACGUACCCUGCCCUCCUGGUCGUCCCAGCCAAUAUUCCUGAUGAAGAGCUGAAGAGAGUGGCAGCCUUCCGGUCCCGGGGCCGGAUCCCGGUUCUGUCUUGGAUCCACCCUGAGAGCCAAGCCACCAUCACACGCUGCAGCCAGCCACUGGUGGGUGUGAGCGGCAAGCGGAGCAAAGAUGAUGAGAAGUACCUGCAGGCCAUCAUGGAUUCCAAUGCCCAGUCCCACAAGAUCUUCAUCUUCGAUGCAAGGCCUAGUGUCAAUGCCGUGGCCAACAAGGCCAAAGGCGGAGGAUAUGAAAGCGAGGACGCGUACCAAAAUGCAGAGCUGGUGUUUCUGGACAUCCACAAUAUCCAUGUAAUGAGAGAGUCCUUACGUAAGCUCAAGGAGAUCGUGUACCCCAACAUUGAAGAAACCCACUGGUUGUCCAACUUGGAAUCUACCCACUGGCUGGAACAUAUCAAGCUGAUCCUCGCGGGGGCACUUCGGAUCGCAGACAGGGUAGAAUCAGGGAAGACAUCAGUGGUGGUACACUGCAGUGAUGGCUGGGACCGCACAGCACAGCUCACAUCCCUGGCCAUGCUCAUGCUGGAUGGCUACUACCGGACCCUCCGGGGCUUCCAAGUCCUCGUGGAGAAGGAAUGGCUCAGCUUCGGGCAUCGCUUUCAGCUUAGACUUGGCCAUGGAGACAAGAACCAUGCAGAUGCAGACCGGUCACCAGUCUUCCUUCAGUUCAUCGACUGUGUCUGGCAGAUGACAAGACAGUUUCCCACCGCAUUUGAGUUCAAUGAAUAUUUCCUCAUCACUAUUUUGGACCACCUGUAUAGCUGUUUGUUUGGAACAUUUCUCUGUAACAGUGAACAGCAGAGAGGAAAGGAGAAUCUCCCCAAAAGGACUGUGUCGCUGUGGUCAUAUGUGAACAGCCAGCCGGAAGAUUUCAGCAACCCUCUCUAUGGCAGCUACUCCAAUCACGUCCUUUACCCAGUAGCCAGCAUGCGCCACCUGGAGCUCUGGGUGGGCUAUUAUGUGAGGUGGAAUCCACGGAUGAAACCACAGGAGCCCAUUCACAACAGAUAUAAAGAACUUCUGGCUAAGCGAGCAGAGCUCCAGAAGAAGGUCGAGGAACUACAGAGAGAGAUCUCCAACCGAUCCACCUCGUCCUCCGAGAGGGCCAGUCCCCCCGCCCAGUGUGUCACACCUGUGCAGACUGUGGUCUGAAGGACACUGAAGAUACUGCCACAGACUGGACUGCAGUGGCAGUUUCAUGCCUAUUUAUUUCUGACCAUCUAUAUGUUUAGAACUCUAGCAGUGCCCCAUGUGAACCUGAAUAGGAAACAUCGAAGUCAUUUCCCCCUUCCCCCCCUCCGCCCCAAUGAUUAUUAAAAUCCUGGGACCAAGAGGAAAUGCUGUCUGAUAAACUGAAAAGAGAAACCACUCAGAAACACACCUCUUCUGUAGAGGGGAGGCGAGCAGGAAGACACCUGGAGCAUGCUCCCCACACCUGUGUCCAGAUUACAAAAGGCAGAGCCUUGAGACACUACAUAGAACAGGAGUUGGAGUUAAUUGUCACUAUUUAUGUACUUAUUUAAGAUGGAUCAGUAGGUGCUAGCUUUCUAAGAAUUCAGAGAAUUCCACAUCCUUCAUAGUUUCCCUUUGUUCAAUUACUAGAAACACCAUGGAAGAUUUCAAACUAACAAACCCACUUUCUGUUGACUUUUUUACUGAAGUCUGUUUAAUACAGCUUAUGUUUUAUGAUGCUUCUUUUUCCUACUUCUUCCUUUGUCCAUGAUGUCAUUCCAUGGAAUGAUUCGAUCUACCAAAGAACUUCCUGCCAGUGGGUGUUACCAUCUCACUGCCCUCCCUGGAAGAAUCUGUGCUGCCCAGUAGCAGUAUGCUCCCGGCUGGCUGCUGACUCGACAGAAGGUCCUGGUCAUGUACUAUAAUGAGAAAGUGUCUCCUAGCUUUUAGCAGAGCCUGUGAACACUGAAAGAAACCAAACCCUGGUCUAUACUGCCACCUCCUGGGAAAUAGUGGACACCAAAAGGCAUCGACUACCAGGGAACUGCUGGAGGUCCACAGCCUCAACUGGUAAGAGAUGUGCUCACACUUCAGACACUUGCAUCAAUCACCAGGAUGGACCAUAAUGACAGGGAACCACAAGAAAACAAUUUCCCAGCAGGUCUCACUUUGGCAAUGUCCUUCUUGUUUGUGGUCCCUAAGAUCCCAGAGCAACGGCUGCUGUUUCCUUCUUCCUCAAAAGUCUUUUUGCUGGUUCUUAAGUCCUUCUUCUGCUUCUCUGUCUUCUGCUUCUCAAA